rnacentral:rRNA from 1 species
AAACCAACAGGGAUUGCCUUAGUAACGGCGAGUGAAGCGGCAAAAGCUCAAAUUUGAAAGCUAGCACCUUCGGUGUUCGCGUUGUAAUUUGAAGAUAGUUUCCUUGAGUAGUCCUUUAUCUAUGUUCCUUGGAACAGGACGUCAUAGAGGGUGAGAACCCCGUAUGAUUUUGGAUACUACUCUUUGUGGGAUUCUAUCGAAGAGUCGAGUUGUUUGGGAAUGCAGCUCUAAGUGGGUGGUAAAUUCCAUCUAAAGCUAAAUAUUGGCGAGAGACCGAUAGCGAACAAGUACAGUGAUGGAAAGAUGAAAAGAACUCUGAAGAGAGAGUGAAAAAGUACGUGAAAUUGCUGAAAGGGAAGGGCUUGAGGUCAGACUUGGUGUUUAAUGAUUAUCAGUUCUUCUUGGACUGUGCACUCGUUUUUUACCGGGCCAAUAUCAGUUUUAGCAGUAGAGUACCCCUUGAAAUGUGGCUUCCUUCGGGGAGUGUUAUAGUCUUGGGGAGAUCUACUUGCUGGGACUGAGGACUGCGCUUCGGCAAGGAUAUUGGCGUAAUGACCUUAAGCCGC